GAUUCUGGCUCAGGAUGAACGCUGGCGGCGUGCCUAAUACAUGCAAGUCGAACGAGGUAGCAAUACCGAGUGGCGAACGGGUGAGUAACACGUAGGUAACCUGCCCUUAAGCUUGGGAUACCCAGAGGAAACUUUGGCUAAUACCGGAUAACAACAGAGAAGGCAUCUUCUUUGCUUGAAAGGCCCCUUCAAGGGUCACUUAAGGAUGGACCUGCGGCGCAUUAGCUAGUUGGUGAGAUAACAGCCCACCAAGGCGAGGAUGCGUAGCCGAACUGAGAGGUUGAUCGGCCACAUUGGAACUGAGACACGGUCCAAACUCCUACGGGAGGCAGCAGUAAGGAGUUUUCGGCAAUGGGGGAAACCCUGACCGAGCAACGCCGCGUGAGCGAUGACGGCCCUAUUGGGUUGUAAAGCUCUGUUGUAAGCCAUGAAUGGUAGCUUGAGGAAAUGCAAGCUAUUUGACGACAGCUUACCAGAAAGCCACGGCUAACUACGUGCCAGCAGCGGC
rnacentral:rRNA from 1 species